GUUCGGUCUAGACAUUCUCUAUUUGAAAAGUGUCCUGAGAUAACUUCUGUUAUGAAUUGCCGCUAUACAAAUAAAAUUUAAUUGAAUUGAAUUAAAAUACAUAUAGGAUCUCACUCUCUCUCUUUGUCUCUCUUUCUCUCUCGCUCACACACACACACACACACACACACUGAUUUAAAGCACAGUAAAUAUUAUUUUUAUGAGUAUUGUGAUUGACCCUUUUUCUCGACUCCUUAGACGAAGAGAAAAUGUAAAAAGUUAUUACAAAUGAUCUCAAAUAAACCCAUGUCCUAAAAAACAACCUCCUGCUUUGCAUAUAGUGUACAGAAUGUACCUGAGGCACCACAUGUGAACAAACUGGUAAUCAAGUGUCCCUGAACCCCCCUUAGGGUAGAAAGGCGGCUCACAGUGACAGAAUGUGGUCCUGGUGCAUUUUAACAGCAGUUAUGGCGCCUUAAGCUGAAUUCCUGCCCAGAGGCUGUCCUACCUCCUCCUACCUUCACACAGUCACACCUGACACCCCAUGCUCCCACUGCAAUCCUCCCUCCUUUAAUAUAAUAAUAAUAUAUAAUAUAUAAAAUCCGAAUAUCCACUGUGGAGUUUCUCAUUUCCUUUAUAGAACUUAAAGCACAAAUCUGUUGAUUUCUUUUAGAUGGGUCAAAGUUUAAGGCUGCAGAGCAAAUUUCCUUAACGUGCUUUGUUUAGUGGUUAGUCACUAGGGGUUGUUCCUCUAAAUCUAUCAGAUCGUUCGCAGUUUGUAGAUGUUAACGAUGAAUCUUUCAUAAAUACUAAAGUUAGUCAUGGAGUUUCACAUGGUUCUGUACUUGGACCAAUUCUAUUCACUUUAUAUAUGCUUCCCUCAGGCAACAUUAUUAGGAAUCACUCCAUUAACUUUCAUUGUUAUGCAGAUGAUACCCAGUUAUAUCUAUCGAUCAAGCCCGAUGAAUCAGAUUUACUGUUGUUGCUGUGCACCUGUCUGUCUGUCUGUCUGUCUGUCUCUCUCUCGUUAGAAAGGAUAAAAACACAUAAUAUGGGGCGCCCGGUUAGCUCAGUGGAGAGCUGGUGUACAAAAAUCAGACACAUACUAUCACAGACAGAUGCAGAAAAACUAAUCCAUGCAUUUGUUACUUCAAGGCUGGAUUACUGCAACUCUUUAUUAUCAGGUUGCCCCAAUAAGUCCAUUAAAACGCUCCAAUUAAAAUUAGGAAACAUGAAUGCAGCACAAGCCACAUUGGAAAUAGUGUAA
rnacentral:lncRNA from 15 species